GUAUUUCCGGUUUGCACAGGAAGAUACUGUUAGGCUGAUCUUUGAACAAGAAAAAUGGAAAUGAGUAGUAUACUAAUUUACGGAGUAAAUACAUUGAUGUUACGCUAUAGAAUUGUUUCAGUCAGAUUUGCCUGAAGGGCCCUCAAAUAGCAGUUUAAUACAGAGAAAGAGUAGGAGUAGUAAAAGAAAACAGAAAGACCACAAAUUGAAUACCAGUGUGAGUGGAGAAUCAGCGUGUUCAAGUAAAAGAAGAAGGAGUUCUAUGAGAAGUUCAAAGCAAAAGUUUGUUGGCAGACACAUUUUGCAUGAAUGGUUUGAUGAGGAGACAAAUAGCAACAAAUGGUAUAAAGGUGUUGUACUUACUGUCUUGAAAAAGUUGGAUGGUGAUGAAGAUGCAGUUUACGAAGUUUUAUAUGAAGGAUGUGACGAUUCAUAUGAAAUAGACCACCUUGCUGAUGAUUUCAGGAAUUCUUCCAUGAAAUUCACUGACAUUUAAAUAUUUUGAAGAUGGCAUUUUUUAAAGACAUUUUCUUUGAUGUGGUGUACAUAAACGGUCUUCAUUCUUGGAAACAGAUACAUAUUUAUUUCAUUGAUGAUGAUAUUUUGAUACUACAGACUAUGACAAUUACAACGGUAUAUAGAAACUAUAUUUUAUGCAGUGAAAACAUAUUUUUUU